rnacentral:piRNA from 1 species
UUAUGCCAAGAACUCAACUACAGAUGG